AUUGAACGCUGGCGGCAGGCUUAACACAUGCAAGUCGAGCGAGCGGCGGACGGGUGAGUAAUGUCUGGGAAACUGCCCGAUGGAGGGGGAUAACUACUGGAAACGGUAGCUAAUACCGCAUACUAUCAGAUGAACCCAUAUGGGAUUAGCUAGUAGGUGGGGUAAUGGCUCACCUAGGCGACGAUCCCUAGCUGGUCUGAGAGGAUGACCAGCCAAACUGGAACUGAGCCACGGUCCAGACUCCUACGGGAGGCAGCAGUGGGGAAUAUUGCACAAUGGGCGAAAGCCUGAUGAAGCCAUGCCGCGUGUGUGAAGAAGGCCUUCGGUUUGUAAAGCACUUUCAGCGGGGAGGCGUUACCCGCAGAAGAAGCACCGGCUAACUCCGUGCCAGCAGCCGCGGUAAUAC
rnacentral:rRNA from 1 species